UCUCCGCGUGCGGGAGCAGGAACCGGACGCCUUAGGUCUGUGCUCAUUUCCCGGGGGUUCCCCGAGGGGAGAGAGUGAGCCGUCCAGGACGCCGCGACCGAAAAGCCCUGCUCUAGGUAGAUUCUGUUGCCUGCCAAAGUGAUGAACCUGAAGCCUGUUUUUUUCUUUGUUGUAAGGGGAGAGUAGCAAGUGUUAGAGGGAUCUGAAAAGAUAAGAGCAUAAUCGAAUGUCCAUCAACAGGAAAAUGGACAAGCCAGUUCAUCCAUACAGUGGAAUCUACAACAGUAACAAGGAAUGAACUGCUUAUUGCAACAACAAGGGUGGACCCCCAAAUCAUUGUGUGGGGUGAAGAAGUCAGACACAAAAGAAUAUACACUGUAUGAUUUCAUUUAUAUGAAAUUCCAGAACAGGGCUGUAAAUCUCCCUGGCAACACAGGAUAUGACUCUCAGGGAUGAAUCUGGACCCGAC